CAUCAGCUGACCCCAGCCAGAAACGAGGCAAGAAUCCCCAGCGGUCGGGCACUGGGAGGCGAUGCUGAUGUUCUGGAUGGCAUCCGACCCGGGCACCGACUCUUUCAACUUGAUGAGCAUGAGGUCGUUGGCGAUAAAAGACACAUCCUGCGUGGAGAAGAAUGACCGUAGGGUGAGAAGGGAGCAGACACCGACACGAAGGCGGAAGGUGACAGCAGCCCAGGUGGGCGAUGCUGUGGUCCAGGGAGAAGAGGAAUGAAUGGGCACAGGGCUCAUCCCGGAGUUCAGAAGACCAGAAGUCCAAAGGCAGUCUCACUGGACUGGUUCCUUCCGGAGGCUCUAAGGGUGACUCCAUUUCCUUGUCUUUUUAGCUUCUGGAGUCAUCUGCAUUCCUUAGCCCGUCUUGCCUCUUGCCUCUCUCUUGUAAGAACCUUUGUGGUUUCAUUGUGCCCAGCAGCAUAACCCGGGGUAACUGCCCCAUCUCGAGAUCUUUAAUCAGACCUGCAAAGUCCCCAGUUGGCCACCAACAUUGACAGAUCAGGAAAUUUCAAGCUUCUCUUGGAAAGUCAAUAUCGUGUCUGCAUUCCCACGGUCAUGAUCCACCAGCAGCAGGUUCGGAGCGGCCACUGUCCUGGGGACAGCUUGCCCGUUUUCUGGCCCACACCCGGCGGUUUCCUUCAUUUUCGUUACCUGCCUGGCCCCAGGAAGCAGCAGAGUUCGUGACCCCAGUGGAGGAAAAAAGUGGACACAAAUACAGAAAGACUCAGGCACAAAGAGACAAGAGAUAAAGUAAACCAGAAAAAAAACCAACAAUAAUCGUCAUACGCUGUCAUAGAGCACCUACAUAGAAACUUACAUAUAGGCUAUACAAACAGUACUUAUUUUGUUCCGGGCACUGCUCCAGCUUCUUCACAAACGUUAACUGGCUCAAUCUCCUCAAUAUCCUAUGAAAUCGGAUCUAUUAUCACCCCCCUCCCCCCACUGUACAGAUGAAAAAUGAGGCACGGAGAAGCUAAGAGCUGUUUACCUGUCGACCAAGUUGACUACGUGGUAGAACUGAGAUCUGAACCCUCAUCCCCACAUCACCCACCCUGUGUGAGCCUAACCACUAGGCAACACUGCCCCCUUGUGGAUUUGGAGGCACGCAGGGAAAGAAUAAGAGGUUGAAGGGGUGAGGCACAAAGGAAGGAUUCCCAAGUUCUCCUGGGUGGGGGACUGUGGGUCUCAGCACCCAGUUCUGGUGCUAGAUGGGGACAGAGGUGCAAGCAAACUCCUUGCAGACAGAGGGAGGGAGCCACCUGAACCUUGCCCUUGGCGAGCUCAAGUCCUGAUCUUGAUUGAUCUUGGGUCUCUCAGGUUCUACAGGGAAAGGCAGGGAGUGUGGCCUGUGGGGUCAGACCCGCUCCGGUGAGACCCUGGGCAAGAGACUAAGUAUUUCUUUUUUUUUUUUUUAAUUUUUUUUAACGUUUAUUUAUUUUUGAGACAGAG